GGGCAUGGGGGCGAUGUGGCUGCGACUUCUGGCCGCCCCGCUGGUCACCAGGCCUGAUGUGGCUGGUUAGGACAGUGUCCCCUUCCUCCCUCACCGCUCCAUGUGCCUCCCUCCCCACGCUGCGUGCUAAGUCUCAGAGGACAACCUUCCCAGGUGGAGAAGGACUGUUCUCCAGUCAAGGGUACACGAGCAGCGAUGCUCCCCUGCUAGAACCUCCAAACAAGAACACACCUCUGAGUUUGAGACUAGACAGACCGAUGCAAAGAGACAAAAUCAGGUUUUCCU
rnacentral:snRNA from 1 species